UGGGACAAUAAAAAGGAGAAGGAACUGUUGUAAGAGGAAGAAAUGAGGUACCAAAAGGCAAGGAGAGUGCUAGCAGGCCCGUGCCAAAGGGGAAGUCACAGUCAUCAAGAAACAGAGACAUCAAAUAUUUUCGUUGCUUGGGAGUGGGGCACAUUGCUUCUCAAUGUCCAAACAAGAGAACCAUGAUUCUGCGGGACAGCGGGAAAGUGGAAACUAAAAGUGAGAGUGAUUAUGCAGACAUGCCAGGAUUGGAGGAUGUUGAUGAAGAAGAUACAGCAGAGUAUGCAAUUAACAGUAAGUUGUUGGUCACGAGUCGAGCUCUUAGUGCUCAAAUCAAGGCGGAUGACUUGGAGCAACAGCGAGAAAACAUAUUCCACACGUGAUGUCACGUCAAUGGUAAGGUAUGUAGUGUGAUAAUAGAUGACGGUAGUUGUACUAAUGUAACUAGCACUAACAUGGAGGAAAAAUUGGGUUUGACAGUGUUAAAACAUCCUAGGCCUUAUAAAUUACAAUGGCUAAAUGAAUGUGGGGAAGUUAAGGUGACAAAAAAUGGUGUUAAUUAAUUUUUCCAUUGGUAGAUAUCAUGAUGAGGUAAUAAGCGAUGUUGUACAUAUGUAUGCCGGGCAUAUCUUGUUGGGGAGACUAUGGCAGUACGAUAGGAAAGCAAUGCAUGAUGGGUAUAAAAAUAAGUAUAGCUUUGUGAAAAAUGGGAGGUCUA
rnacentral:lncRNA from 1 species